AAAAACUACAAACCUGGUUUCCGUGUCCAACGUUUGACCGUCCGUCUUAUUUCAAAAAAUUAUGAAAAUAAAAAGAUAAGUCACACAUAAAGUAUUAAUCAUGUUUUAUCAUCUAACAACAAUAAAAUACUAAUUAUAAAAAAAUUUUAUAUAAGACGGACAAUCAAACGUUGGCACGGAAACCCACGGUU
rnacentral:pre_miRNA from 1 species